UUCAAGUCAUACUUUUAACACGAGCUUGUUGAAACGUUUAACAAUUCCAAAAUGAAAUUAAACGAGUUUUAACUUUUUUUUUGCCUCUCAAAUGCAUAAAAAUGCAGAGAAAGUUAACAAGGGGGAAAAAAAUCUUAAAACGGUAAAAAUAAGAAAAACAACUCUUCUUAGGACUAGUCCUUGGAUGAGUUACCAGGAAACUGAUUCUUCUUUUCUUGACUUCUCGGAUGCCAGUCCUGAGGCUAGCGGCCAGCGGUCUCAGUACCUGCUCCGGCCUCCCCCUCGCUCCAGGCGGCUUCCCACGCGGCCUCCGCCCCUUGGGGGCGCCCGCCGGCCGGAGCGGCUGUAAGAAUCGCGCGGUGUUGGGCAGCUUCGUUCUACAGACGGCGGCAGCCCGCGCUCCGGCCUACCCACGCGCUCGCGGCCACUCGAGUAGCGCUCGCUGCGGUAGCUGUCGCGGCCGCCGUAGCCGUCGGGAGAGCAGCCGCGGUACUCGUCGUAGCGGCCCCCACCAUAAGAUGGCGGCGGACCUCGGGCAGGGCCGGCGCCACGCGGGUCCCCGUAGCUGUCGAACGGGUCGCGGUAGGAGGCUCCGCUAGGAUGCUCGGAGUAGUCGCGCUCGCGGCCCCCGUAGCCGUCGCGCUCGCAGUAGCCCCUGGAAGGGCAUUCAUCUCGCGCGCUCGAGUGGCCAUAGUCGCGGUAGGUGUAGUCGCGGGGCGAGGGUGCAAAGUCGCGUGGGUCCCGGGCGCUCGGGUAGUCGCGGCUCGAGUAGCUCUCACGGGGCGAGUAGCCCUCGUCGCGCGGGCCCAGGUACGGGUCUCGGCGCGGCGGCGGCAGCUCAC
rnacentral:lncRNA from 1 species